rnacentral:rRNA from 1 species
UACGAAGGGGGCUAGCGUUGCUCGGAAUCACUGGGCGUAAAGGGUGCGUAGGCGGGUCUUUAAGUCAGGGGUGAAAUCCUGGAGCUCAACUCCAGAACUGCCUUUGAUACUGAAGAUCUUGAGUUCGGGAGAGGUGAGUGGAACUGCGAGUGUAAGAGGUGAAAUUCGUAGAUAUUCGCAAGAACACCAGUGGCGAAGGCGGCUCACUGGCCCGAUACUGACGCUGAGGCACGGAAAGCGAUGG